AUGAAUAUGCUGCAAAACUUGCAGGUUUGGCUUCUUAAUUUUUGCUUCCAGCUUUUUUUAUGUUAUUGUCAUAUGAUCUGUAGGAAAAAGAGUUGGAUUACUUUUCAUUUGAUCUGUAGCAUCAGAAAACUUGCGCAUUUGGAUGAUGAGGAAACAAGACAUGUAGAGGAUUUACCGUGAUAGGAGUAGUUGACCUCAAUGACACUUGAUACUGACAGAUUUGGGCAUAUUUAUCUACAGAUACUAAGUCUUACUUUUUUGCCAUCGUCUUCAAGGAAUUGUCAAAUAAGGCAAUAGCUCACUGGUCUGCACAAGAGCACAACACAAAGGAGAGACCCAAAAUCUCCUCAACACAGUCGCUGUAGUAAAUUCAGCAACUCAAAAAAAGGUCAUAAUAGAUCCAAAAUACCCGCACGACAAUUAUAAUAACCCAAGAACAAACAGCCAGAAGCCAAACAAGAAGUGAUUCUGAGGUUGCAGUAAGGGUCACAGGGUCUAACAUCCUGGACACCCACAAAUAUGUGCCAAACAACCAAGUAAAUCAAUGACUAAGCACCAGAGAUGAAGACCAGCAACUCGUCCUGACAGCCACAAACAGCCAAAAGAGCCCUUAAGAGAGCACUAACCAAAACAAAAUUCUGACUGAAAUAAGACAAUGCAAAACACAACCAGACUUGGAUGGAAACACACCUAGCAGAAAAAAAAAAAGAAAAAAAAAAUCCACGGUGCCCAAUCCUCAGUCAAUGAAAACAACCAAAAACAGAACUUAGAUAAAGAGUCAGAAAGGUUCCUGAAGCAGAACCUAUGUUUCUGCAACAGAACGUGUGUGCAAACACCUUGGAGCGCCUAUAGAAAUGCUCCAGACCAAGCAACAGCUCACUAGGUUGAACUAAGCUUGUUGGGGCGGCAUCAGGGAAAAGAAGCUGAAAACACAAAUGCCGGUUGAUACGCCACCAUUCUCUGGCGCAUGAGGUAGAGCCAGAAAUAGAGAGCUUAUGCGUGGGAGCUACUAGCCUCGCUGCAGGUCACUGGACUUCACAGGGAGGCCUGUCGGCAGUUACACUUUCUUCUAGGGAGGGUCACCUGAAAAUGGUGGCCUAAAGGAACAGUAGC
rnacentral:misc_RNA from 1 species